rnacentral:rRNA from 1 species
GUCCAGACUCCUACGGGAGGCAGCAGUGGGGAAUAUUGCACAAUGGGGGAAACCCUGAUGCAGCGACGCCGCGUGAGUGAAGAAGUAUUUCGGUAUGUAAAGCUCUAUCAGCAGGGAAGAAAAUGACGGUACCUGACUAAGAAGCCCCGGCUAACUACGUGCCAGCAGCCGCGGUAAUACGUAGGGGGCAAGCGUUAUCCGGAUUUACUGGGUGUAAAGGGAGCGUAGACGGCAUGGCAGGUCAGAUGUGAAAGCCCGGGGCUCAACCCCGGGACUGCAUUUGAAACUGUCAGGCUGGAGUGCAGGAGAGGUAAGUGGAAUUCCUAGUGUAGCGGUGAAAUGCGUAGAUAUUAGGAGGAACACCAGUGGCGAAGGCGGCUUACUGGACUGUAACUGACGUUGAGGCUCGAAAGCGUGGGGAGCAAACAGGAUUAGAUACCCGUGUA